ensembl:snRNA RNVU1-15 RNA, variant U1 small nuclear 15
AUACUUACUUGGCGGGGGAGAUACCAUGAUCACGAAGGUGGUUUUCUCAGGGCGAGGCUUAUCCGUUAUGUUCCGGGUGUACUGACCCCUGCCAUUUUCCCCCAAUGUGAGGAACUCGACUGCAUAACUUGUGAUAGUAGGGGACUGCGUUCGCGCUUUCCCCUG